rnacentral:rRNA from 1 species
GCAGCAUGGUCUUAGCUUGCUAAGGCCGAUGGCGACCGGCGCACGGGUGAGUAACACGUAUCCAACCUGCCGUCUACUCUUGGACAGCCUUCUGAAAGGAAGAUUAAUACAAGAUGGCAUCAUGAGUCCGCAUGUUCACAUGAUUAAAGGUAUUCCGGUAGACGAUGGGGAUGCGUUCCAUUAGAUAGUAGGCGGGGUAACGGCCCACCUAGUCUUCGAUGGAUAGGGGUUCUGAGAGGAAGGUCCCCCACAUUGGAACUGAGACACGGUCCAAACUCCUACGGGAGGCAGCAGUGAGGAAUAUUGGUCAAUGGGCGAGAGCCUGAACCAGCCAAGUAGCGUGAAGGAUGACUGCCCUAUGGGUUGUAAACUUCUUUUAUAAAGGAAUAAAGUCGGGUAUGGAUACCCGUUUGCAUGUACUUUAUGAAUAAGGAUCGGCUAACUCCGUGCCAGCAGCCGCGGUAAUACGGAGGAUCCGAGCGUUAUCCGGAUUUAUUGGGUUUAAAGGGAGCGUAGAUGGAUAUUUAAGUCAGUUGUGAAAGUUUGCGGCUCAACCGUAAAAUUGCAGUUGAUACUGGAUAUCUUGAGUGCAGUUGAGGCAGGCGGAAUUCGUGGUGUAGCGGUGAAAUGCUUAGAUAUCACGAAGAACUCCGAUUGCGAAGGCAGCCUGCUAAGCUGCAACUGACAUUGAGGCUCGA